rnacentral:rRNA from 4 species
UGGGGAAUUUUGGACAAUGGGGGCAACCCUGAUCCAGCAAUGCCGCGUGUGUGAAGAAGGCCUUCGGGUUGUAAAGCACUUUUGUCCGGAAAGAAAACGCCGUGGUUAAUACCCGUGGCGGAUGACGGUACCGGAAGAAUAAGCACCGGCUAACUACGUGCCAGCAGCCGCGGUAAUACGUAGGGUGCAAGCGUUAAUCGGAAUUACUGGGCGUAAAGCGUGCGCAGGCGGUCCGCUAAGACAGAUGUGAAAUCCCCGGGCUUAACCUGGGAACUGCAUUUGUGACUGGCGGGCUAGAGUAUGGCAGAGGGGGGUAGAAUUCCACGUGUAGCAGUGAAAUGCGUAGAGAUGUGGAGGAAUACCGAUGGCGAAGGCAGCCCCCUGGGCCAAUACUGACGCUCAUGCACGAAAGCGUGGGGAGCAAACAGG